UACAGAGGUCCCAAGCGUUGUUCGGAUUUACUGGGCGUAAAGGGUGCGUAGGCGGUGCGGAAAGUUCGGGGUGAAAUCUCCAGGCUCAACUUGGAAACUGCCCUGAAUACUUCCGUGCUCGAGGGCCGCAGAGGAGAUUGGAAUUCUCGGUGUAGCAGUGAAAUGCGUAGAUAUCGAGAGGAACAUCAGUGGCGAAAGCGAAUCUUUGGGCGGUUUCUGACGCUGAGGCACGAAAGCCAGGGGAGCAAACGGG
rnacentral:rRNA from 1 species